rnacentral:rRNA from 1 species
AUGAAAAACGGUAGUCCAUCACUUAAUGCACUGGACCCCGACACAUUCGCCGGAGAGUCCCGCGCUGUGAUAGACUUCCUCGCCGGCUACUACCGCGAUGUGGACAAGUACCCUGUCCAGUCGGAAGCCGAGCCGGGCAGCCUCCGUAGGCUUCUGCCCGACACGGCGCCCGAACACGGUGAGCCGGUUGACGGAAUACUCGAGGAUGUAGGGCAACACAUCCUCCCUGGACUCACACACUUCCAGAGCCCCAACUUCUUUGCCUACUACCCAGCCAACGCCAGCACGGCUGGGUUCGCCGGCGAGAUGCUCUGCGCCGGCCUCAACGUCGCACCCUUCACAUGGGCUGCCUCGCCUCUGGCAACCGAACUUGAAUGCGUCAUGCUAGACUGGAUGUGCAAGCUCAUGUGCCUCCCGGAUCGUUUCCUCUUCUCAGGCGGGGGCGGCGGCGGCGGCGGCGGGGUGCUGCACGGGAGCACCUGCGAGGCCGUGAUAUGCACUCUUGCCGCCGCACGGGAUCGCGCGCUCAGCAAGCUAACCCAUGAAGGCAUCCUCAAGCUGGUGGUGUACGCCUCGGACCAGAGCCACACCACCUUCCAGAAGGGCGCCAGGAUUGUUGGGAUCCCCCCGUCAAACUUCCGCAUCAUCCCAACGUCCGCCUCAUCCAGCUACGGCCUAACCGCAGAAAGCGUCCGCCACGCGGUGGAGGCUGACCUUGCCAGCGGCCUCGUGCCACUCUACCUGUGCGCCACGGUUGGCACCACCGGCGUCGGCGCGGUUGACCCGGUGGGUGAGCUCGGGGAGGUGGCGCGACGCUACGGCAUGUGGCUCCACGUCGACGCCGCCUACGCCGGCAGCGCGCUCAUCUGCCCCGAGUUCCAGGGCUACAUCCACGGCGCCGAGCUGGCCGACUCGGUGAGCAUGAACCCGCACAAGUGGUUCCUCACCAACAUGGACUGCUGCUGCCUCUGGGUGGCCAGCCCAGCUCAGCUUACCUCCGCGCUUUCCAUCACUUCAGAGUACCUCACCGAUGUCAGCUGCCAAGAAACCGUGGAUGUGGUGGACUACAAGGACUGGCAGAUUGCCUUGGGACGCCGAUUCCGCGCCAUCAAGCUGUGGGUUGUUCUACGCCGGUACGGCGCGGCGGGCCUACGAGCGCACAUCAGGAGGCAUGUGGAGAUGGCAAAGUGGUUUGAGCAGGCGGUGAAGGCCGACGAGCGGUUCGAGGUGGUCGCGCCCAGGAGAUUUUCCCUUGUGUGCUUCCGCCUCCGCCCAAGGCCACGGUAUGAAGGCGACCAUGCGGUGGACGCCUUGAACCGUAAGCUUCUCAACGCGGUGAACGCCAGCGGGAGGGCCUUCAUGGUACACACUGUGGUGGACAACAAGUUCGUUAUCCGCCUCGCCAUAGGUGCCACCAUGACCCAGAUGCGCCACGUCCGAAACGCAUUUCACCUCAUCCAGGAGAAAGCCACCCAAAUACUCCCUCCAUAG